rnacentral:rRNA from 1 species
AACGAACGCUGGCGGCGUGGAUAAGACAUGCAAGUCGAACGGGAACUUCAGCCGUAGCAAUACAGUUGAAGUUUUAGUGGCGAACGGGUGCGUAACACGUGGGCAAUCUGCCGAGAAGUGGGGGAUAGCUCGCCGAAAGGCGAAUUAAUACCGCAUAUGAUCAGCUAAGACAUCUUAGCGACAUCAAAGCCGGGGCAACCUGGCGCUUUUUGAGGAGCCCGCGGCCUAUCAGCUAGUUGGUGAGGUAACGGCUCACCAAGGCUAUGACGGGUAGCUGGUCUGAGAGGACGGACCAGUCACACUGGAACUGAGACACGGUCCAGACACCUACGGGUGGCAGCAGUCGAGAAUUUUUCUCAAGUGGGGCAACCCUGAAGGAGCGACGCCGCGUGGAGGAUGAA